GACCUGGUGGUGUAGUGGUAACACACUUACUCAAAAUAAAUGAAAGUAAGACAUUCAACUGUGCAAGAGUUCCCUGUUCAACUCAGGGCUGGAUCA